rnacentral:rRNA from 1 species
AGUGAACGCUGGCGGUAGGCCUAACACAUGCAAGUCGAACGGCAGCACAGCCCGAGCUUGCUCUUACGGGUGGCGAGUGGCGCACGGGUGAGGACUACAUCGGAAUCUACUUUUUCGUGGGGCAUACAGUAGGGAAACUUACGCUAAUACCGCACACGCACUACGGGUGAAAGCAGGGGAUCUUCGGACCUUGCGCGAUUGAAUGAGCCGAUGUCGGAUUAGCUAGUUGGCGGGGUAAAGGCCCACCAAGGCGACGAUCCGUAGCUGGUCUGAGAGGAUGAUCGGAAAGACUGCAGGGAGGGCACGCUGGAGAAGCCUACGCGAGGAGUGGUGGGGGAAGAUUGUGCAAUGGGCGGGAGCCUGCUCGAGCGAUACUGCGUGGCGCAAUGCGGAGGGCGCGUUGUAGAGCCCUUUUGUUGGGCACGAAGAGAGGAAGGUUAAUACCCCGCUGUGCUGACGGUACCCAAAGAAUAAGCACCGGCUAACUUCGUG